rnacentral:rRNA from 1 species
UGGGGAAUUUUCCGCAAUGGGCGAAAGCCUGACGGAGCAAUCUCGCGUGAGGGAUGACGGCCUAUGGGUUGUAAACCUCUUUUUUCAGGGAGGAACAAAAUGACGUGUACCUGAAGAAUAAGCAUCGGCUAACUCCGUGCCAGCAGCCGCGGUAAGACGGAGGAUGCAAGUGUUAUCCGGAAUCACUGGGCGUAAAGCGUCUGUAGGUGGUUUGAUAAGUCAACUGUUAAAUCUUGAAGCUCAACUUCAAAAUCGCAGUCGAAACUAUUAGACUAGAGUAUAGUAGGGGUAAAGGGAAUUUCCAGUGGAGCGGUGAAAUGCGUAGAUAUUGGAAAGAACACCGAUGGCGAAGGCACUUUACUGGGCUAUUACUGACACUCAGAGACGAAAGCUAGGGUAG